AGGGGAGCGCUGCCGGAGGAGGAGGAGGAGGAGGAGGAGGAGGAAGAGGAAGAGGAUGAAGGCGGCGCCGGUCGGAGCGCUGCGGUGCGGUGCGGUGCGCAGCGGCGGCGAGCGGCUCGUCGUCAUCGCCAUCAUCGCCCUUCUCGUCCCUCUGCGGGCCGGGGCUGAGGCAGACUGAGCGCCAGAGAGAGGGCCCGUCGGCUGAGGUGGAGCACCUGGUUCUGCUCUGGAAGGUGAAACCGGGAGCUUUCUUGCUUAAGAGUGACACUGUCCUACAUGUGGAGAGUCUUUACUAACAAUAAUGGCAUCUUCCUCAGAAAUUGCUUUGGUAAUUGCUCCAAUACUUCUUUAUGCAAGUUGCUCUUUUGGUACUCACCAAAUCCCUCCAACAUCCAUUCAGAGCUGUUAAUGCUUACAUGACGUGCUGCUAUCAAGGCAAGCAAGUGGACAGGGAAGCGGUUGCAAAACCAACUUGCUCCUCUGGCUCCUUCCUUUCUGCAGAAGAGCUUGUCUGUAGUUUUAUUGUGAAAAGUACUCAAAACCUAAGACAAAGACACUAAACAAAUGCAACUUUACCCUCACAGAGCUGCACCUGCAGCAUGGACCGUAUCCACGCCGUCCUGAAACAAUCCAGCCUUGCUGACAGCUCAAGUGUCGCUUCGGAGCCAGAUUUAGAAAGGUCAGGCUAGCACAGGCAUUUUAAGGGAGAUGGUUUCAUCUUUUUAAGUGUUUGAAUUUGAAGUUCAAACAUUUAAUCUUUCAAAUUAAGGAAAGCUGAGAAUGUAUGAGCGUGUAGAAGGCAUGAUGCCUUUAAGAGAAUUAUUAAUUAAGAAGAGUGAAAAUUUCUUAACCUGGGGGAAGAGAAGGGAGAAGAAUUCAAUGAAAGUUAAUAUUCCUAGCUAAAGAGUGCAAAGAUCCAUUCUCCUGAAUUUUGUCUGUGAAAUGACUUUAAAGAGAGAAAAAGAAAAUAUUUAUCAGUGUUUAAACAUGAUGCUGUAGUAAAUGAGUAGUUGUCAUUUCUUGUAAAGAAAAUCCCGUCUUCAUUUUAGUAUUUCCAGUGCUGUGGUCUUGCAUGGGUGGAGGCAAGUUGCUGGAAUGGUUAAUUCUGGCCUCUGCCAUCAUAAUGUACCUUAUUUCUAAUUUUAUUUAUGUCCCAUUUCAGCUCCCGGGCAUUCAUCUUGUCAUAAGUUGAUUAUUGUAAUAAAUAGUGUUAUUACUAAA